AGUACAAGAAGACAGGUUUGAACCGGACUCCUGUUUCCUCAGAAGUUAACUUGCAAUGUGAAGCUUUUCUUUUCUCAAAAACCUGGUGUCAUAGUGUUGGCUUCUAGUGCAGUGAGCCCCUUUUGCUGCAUAACACUACCUGGUAAUUUGACAUACCAGGUGGUUAGUAACUACUGACUGCCUCCAGGUUGCAACACAAUUAUUACCCACUUGGGUGAAAAGAGAAGACAGGAAAUAAAUAUUGGAGUCGGCUGGCAACCUGUUUACAAAGCAAUUUACAACAGUUCCUUAUUCUUAAGGGGUUAUUCUAAUGUAAGACCUCAGAGAAACAGUGCAGUGUGACAAAGGAGGAAUUUAUCAAAGGAGACAGAAAAAGCAUCAAGGCAAGCUGUGAAAUGGUGCAGUAGGAACCAAAUAGAGAGCCAAAGGAUCUCUCUGUCACUGCAGGCCCUUAGGAGAAUAUACAACUCCUCUGCCACAACGUGAGGGAGAGAAGUCUGCAGACGGCUGACUGGUGAAGACUGAACAAGACGGAAAGGCAAGUUGCUAUGCCCGAAGCCUUUGAAGGGAGCCAGCAGGGUCCAUGGGAGGUUCAGGACACAUAUCUGCAGCCCUGCUUCCGGCCCCACCCUUGGGAAAGCCUUUUGCAGGUGAUCCUGGGCCUCUGCUGGGGAAGGCCCCAAGAGGUGAAGCAUCCUCUGCAGAGGAGAGAGCACAUCCGGAGGUAGAAGACAGACCACUGUCUGGGCUCUGCUUAACUGCUGUGAUUUGGGAUUGUAACUUACCCCCGUGAAGCCUCAGUUUCCCACAUGGAAAUCAAAUUGAUCAUUGUUAUAACAUUU
rnacentral:antisense_RNA from 1 species